AGAAUUAAGUCAGAGUGAGGGUGAGGGGGAGAAGAGAAGAGUGUCGUCAACACGGUCUUUAUAUAAGUAGCAAAAAUAAACUUAUAACAAAAUAAACUUACUUUUUACAAAACUUGAAACAUUUUAUAGAAUUUCUGAGAAAUAUAAAGAAAUAAGUGGAAGAGGAAUGAUUUAUAGAGGAAGUGUGAAGAUAGAGAAAAUAUAGAGAGAGUAGUUAUAUCCAGAUGUGUGCCUUCACAAGGGGAG
rnacentral:lncRNA from 1 species